UACGUAGGGCGCAAGCGUUGUCCGGAAUUAUUGGGCGUUAAAGAGCUACGUAGGUGGCUUGUCACGUCGGGUGUGAAAGCUUGGGGCUUAACUCCAGGUCUGCAUUCGAUACGGGCUGGCUAGAGGUAGGUAGGGGAGAACGGAAUUCCUGGUGUAGCGGUGAAAUGCGCAGAUAUCAGGAGGAACACCGGUGGCGAAGGCGGUUCUCUGGGCCUUACCUGACGCUGAGGAGCGAAAGCGUGGGGAGCGAACAGG
rnacentral:rRNA from 1 species